rnacentral:rRNA from 1 species
UACGUAGGUGGCAAGCGUUGUCCGGAUUUACUGGGCGUAAAGAGCGCGCAGGCGGUCGUUCAAGUCGAGUGUGAAAGCCCCCGGCUCAACUGGGGAGGGUCACUUGAUACUGAUCGACUCGAAGGCAGGAGAGGGAAGCGGAAUUCCCGGUGUAGUGGUGAAAUGCGUAGAUAUCGGGAGGAACACCAGUGGCGAAGGCGGCUUCCUGGCCUGUUCUUGACGCUGAGGCGCGAAAGCUAGGGGAGCAAACGGGG